rnacentral:rRNA from 1 species
UAUUCGGCCCUACCUUUGGAUUGCUUGUCUCAAAGAUUAAGCCAUGCAUGUUUAAGUAUAAGCAAUCUAUACAGUGAAACUGCGAAUGGCUCAUUAAAUCAGUUAUCGUUUAGAUAGUACCUUUACUACUUGGAUAACCGUGGUAAUCUAGAGCUAAUACAAUGCUAAACCCCGACUUCGGAAGGGGUGUAUUAUUAGAUAAAACCAAUGCUCGGGCUCCUUGGUGUCAUGAUAACUUAACGAAUCGCAUGGCUUGUGCGGGUUUCUGCCUAUCAACGUCGAUGUAGAGAUUUAAACCUUUUGUAUAGAGAUUUCCCCAAACU